UGUGUGUGUGUGUGUUUGUGUGUUUGUGUGUGUGUGUGUGUGUGUGUGUGUGUGUGCUUCCUCACAUGUGGCGGAGCCCAGAGAGCCUCAGAGUGGGUCUGUCAUGCGGUCCCGCGGUGCUGAUCGGGAAGGACCCAAAAGCCACACCAAAACCAACACGAUAAGACCAGAGAGAGACGCCACAGAUGAGUAUGAGUGGAAUUGCCCAAUAGACGCUGAAGAAUUGUUGAGUGCCCAUCUGCAAGCGAUCAGCCGGAGUCGUGAGCAGGCCCUUGGGUUCAUCAGUUUUCACCUGAGCCAGGAGUGAAAUGAAACCCAUAGGUGGCCCAGUGCCAACACAAACACAUGCAAUCCUUGACUGUUUUGGAACAAAGAAGAAGAAAUCAGAAGAGAGAAACUGCAGAUGUGUCGGUGCCAAGUAUUCCUUGACAUAUCCGACUUCCUAUGAACUCGUAUCCCUGAGCAACACUGUCAGCUGGAGUAGCCUCCAAUAGAAACACAGCACAGCUAACACUCUAAUCAGUCUCACCUAAUUACGCAAUGUCCUUUCAUUCCUUAGCACUAAAGGAUGUGUAAAGUGUUGAUAGGUAUUGUUCUGUUCCAAUGACAGUGGAGCAGACUUGUCUCAAUCUGCAGCCCAUGGCUUCCAUUUCUCUGUGCAGGGCAGCGAGGGGGGAAAAAUCUCACCAAGGGUGUUUUUUUUUAAUCAUUUUUUUCAUUGUUUUUUUUCCAUCUCUCUUAUUUCACAUAAAAAUACAUCUUGCGGUGUGUGUUUGAUCUGGUUCAGCUGACAGUGAGAGAGACAUAUCAAAUGGUCUCAUCUAAGAGGUUUGGUCUCAUGCAUUUCGUGUGAAUGUUAAGCGUGAUGAUUUGGGGUGACUUGCCACAGACGCUGCUGGGUGUUCAUUACAUCCACUGCACAGCACUCUGUCAUCCUUAUCUGGUUUAGCAAUGCUAACUAAAACCACACUGUUCACAGUGUACUCUAAAACACGUCUGCCAGCUUUCAUGCCAUAGUUACGUGUAUCUAAAACUACAUUAUUCACAGUGUACUCUAAAACAUGUCAUUCCAGCAUU